GCCCCUGUAGCUCAGUGGAAAGAGCGUCCGGCUACGAACCGGAAAGGCGGCAGGUUCGACUCCUGCCAGGGGUA
rnacentral:tRNA from 1 species